GCAAAUGUGGCAUAGUGGUUUGAGCGCUGGGUUAUGACUCUGGAGGCCAGGGUUUGAUUCCCUGCUCAGCCA